CUUUUGAUUUUGAUUUAAGGUCUAAUCUGCCCACUGAAAAUUUUUGAAUGGCCGCGGUAUUUUGACCGUGCAAAGGUAGCGUGAUAAUUAGUUUUUUAAUUGAAAGCUGGUAUGAAUGAUUGGACGAGAAAAUUACUGUCUCAAUUUAAUUUAAGUAAAAUUUUAUUUUUAAGUUAAAAAGCUUAAAUUUUUUUUAAAGACGAGAAGACCCUAUAGAGUUUGAUUUAAUAUUAUUUAAUUUUAAUUUGGUUAAUUGAUUUAUUUUUAGAUAAUAUUUAAUUUGGUUGGGGUGAUUAAAAGAUUUAAUUAACUCUUUUUUUAAAAACAAAGAUUUUUGGAUUUUUGAUCUAAAUUAUUAAUUUAAAGAAUAAAUUACCUUAGGGAUAACAGCGUAAUCUUUCUAGAAGUUCUUAUUGAAAGAAAGGGUUGCGACCUCGAUGUUGGAUUAAAAUUAACUUUUGGUGCAGAAGCU
rnacentral:rRNA from 1 species